rnacentral:rRNA from 1 species
UACAGAGGGUGCGAGCGUUAAUCGGAAUUACUGGGCGUAAAGGGCGCGUAGGCGGUUAGAUAAGUUAUGUGUGAAAGGCUUGGGCUUAACCUGGGACCUGCUCAUAAAACUGUGUAGCUAGAGUAGAGUAGAGGAAAGUGGAAUUUCCGGUGUAGCGGUGAAAUGCGUAGAUAUCGGAAGGAACACCAGUGGCGAAGGCGGCUUUCUGGACUCAUACUGACGCUGAGGCGCGAAAGCGUGGGGAGCAAACAGG